UUGAACGCUGGCGGCAUGCCUUACACAUGCAAGUCGAGCGGCAGCACGGGUGCUUGCACCUGGUGGCGAGUGGCGAACGGGUGAGUAAUACAUCGGAACAUGUCCUGUAGUGGGGGAUAGCCCGGCGAAAGCCGGAUUAAUACCGCAUACGAUCUACGGAUGAAAGCGGGGGACCUUCGGGCCUCGCGCUAUAGGGUUGGCCGAUGGCUGAUUAGCUAGUUGGUGGGGUAAAGGCCUACCAAGGCGACGAUCAGUAGCUGGUCUGAGAGGACGACCAGCCACACUGGGACUGAGACACGGCCCAGACUCCUACGGGAGGCAGCAGUGGGGAAUUUUGGACAAUGGGCGAAAGCCUGAUCCAGCAAUGCCGCGUGUGUGAAGAAGGCCUUCGGGUUGUAAAGCACUUUUGUCCGGAAAGAAAUCCUUGGCUCUAAUACAGUCGGGGGAUGACGGUACCGGAAGAAUAAGCACCGGCUAACUACGUGCCAGCAGCCGCGGUAAUACGUAGGGUGCGAGCGUUAAUCGGAAUUACUGGGCGUAAAGCGUGCGCAGGCGGUUUGCUAAGACCGAUGUGAAAUCCCCGGGCUCAACCUGGGAACUGCAUUGGUGACUGGCAGGCUAGAGUAUGGCAGAGGGGGGUAGAAUUCCACGUGUAGCAGUGAAAUGCGUAGAGAUGUGGAGGAAUACCGAUGGCGAAGGCAGCCCCCUGGGCCAAUACUGACGCUCAUGCACGAAAGCGUGGGGAGCAAACAGGAUUAGAUACCCUGGUAGUCCACGCCCUAAACGAUGUCAACUAGUUGUUGGGGAUUCAUUUCCUUAGUAACGUAGCUAACGCGUGAAGUUGACCGCCUGGGGAGUACGGUCGCAAGAUUAAAACUCAAAGGAAUUGACGGGGACCCGCACAAGCGGUGGAUGAUGUGGAUUAAUUCGAUGCAACGCGAAAAACCUUACCUACCCUUGACAUGGUCGGAAUCCCGCUGAGAGGUGGGAGUGCUCGAAAGAGAACCGGCGCACAGGUGCUGCAUGGCUGUCGGCAGCUCGUGUCGUGAGAUGUUGGGUUAAGUCCCGCAACGAGCGCAACCCUUGUCCUUAGUUGCUACGCAAGAGCACUCUAAGGAGACUGCCGGUGACAAACCGGAGGAAGGUGGGGAUGACGUCAAGUCCUCAUGGCCCUUAUGGGUAGGGCUUCACACGUCAUACAAUGGUCGGAACAGAGGGUUGCCAACCCGCGAGGGGGAGCUAAUCCCAGAAAACCGAUCGUAGUCCGGAUUGCACUCUGCAACUCGAGUGCAUGAAGCUGGAAUCGCUAGUAAUCGCGGACCAGCAUGCCGCGGUGAAUACGUUCCCGGGUCUUGUACACACCGCC
rnacentral:rRNA from 1 species